CCUUACCUGGGCUCGAACGUAAGAUGACUGUAGGUGAAAGCUUACAUCUCUUCGGAGCAUUUUACGAGGUGCUGCAUGGUUGUCGUCAGCUCGUGCCGUGAGGUGUCGGGUUAAGUCCCAUAACGAGCGCAACCCUACCUUUAGUUGCCAUCAGGUUAAGCUGGGGACUCUAAAGGAACUGCCUACGCAAGUAGUGAGGAAGGCGGGGAUGACGUCAAAUCAGCACGGCCCUUACGUCCAGGGCUACACACGUGCUACAAUGGCCGAUACAGAGGGCAGCUACCUGGUGACAGGAUGCAAAUCUCCAAAGUCGGUCUCAGUUCGGAUCGGAGUCUGCAACCCGACUUCAUGAAGCUGGAAUCGCUAGUAAUCGCAGAUCAGCCAAGCUGCGGUGAAUACGUUCCCGGGCCUU
rnacentral:rRNA from 1 species